GACGUAGCGGUUGAAAAUUACAAAUCAAACCAAAGUGGAGAAUGUUAGGAUUUGGUUAGAUUUGUAGUUAAAUCCUAUUUGGAUAAGAAUUAAUAUUUAAAUCUGUUUGAGAUAAAUUAAGAUUUAAAUAUUAAUUAGAGGAUAAACCUAACUAGAUUAGGAUUAAUAUUUAAAUCUAUUAGAGAUUAAUUAAGAUAGAUUUAGAUAUUAAUUGGAGUAGAAAUCCUAAAUAUAUUAGGAUUGGGGUACGUUUUAGUGGAGCCUUAUAAAUAGCUCUUUGUGGGUUUGCUUUUGGUGGGAAGUACGAGAGAGAGAGAGAGAGAGAGAGAGAGAGAGAGAGAGAGAGAGAGAGAGAGAGUCUCUUGGGUUGCCGUACCAAAGAGAGAAAAAGAGAGAAAGAGAGAGAGAGUUAUUUAAUUAUGCUUUGAGUGCACCUAGUGCACGGGUGCAUGUGAAGGAUUGUCUUCUUUAUGGGUUUAUAGAAGACGAGAAAAGGGUAGAAGAGAUUCAGAGAGAGGGCUCGGGUUGUAGUUAUUCUGUGCAAAAGAGGAGUCAGGUGUAAUCUUCUCUUAUUUAAUGAAUCUUAUUUUACCUGCAUAUUUUUCUCUUUUUUGAUUGUAUCAGCUUUUGCUGAGGAGACGAGUUUAUGAUAAAAAACCCGAUUUGACGUUUUCGUUGCGGAAUCCCAACAAUCGAUACCGGAUCCACAGCAGUCGGUAUCGGAGUAGGUUGCAGAUUCACGAGGUCCGGUACCGGGGCGAGUACCGGAUUCCCAACAUAGCAUUGCUAAUCUCUCUUUCUCUCUCUCUAACGACCCGACUCGCUAGCAAUAAUAACUUGUUGGACCCAAACCAUCAGUCUAAAAUGUUUAAGCUCAGUUAUUAUUACUAGUGUGCAAGUCGUUACAUUUGGUAUUAGAGCCGGUUCACCAGCCUGAAGUGUGAGAUGAGUGUUGGCUGAGAGAGGGUCGGAAUGACAGACUAAGUCAGGGUCGGUGAUUGACCAGCUAAAUUAGGGUCGGAAUGACAAAGGCUAGCGAAACAAUUCUCACAUUGCCUGAUGAUUUUGGGUUGUGUGUGUUUAGGGCUGACGAGGACGUCAGGGCCUAAACUUAGGGAGUCUACAUGCGACACCCCAAUAGUCCCAUAUCGGAUAGUUAUGACUAGAUGUGGGAGUAUAUAAUCUUGAUUGGCUGUAUAUAAUAACUGAGUUUAAGCAUUUUGGGCCAGUGGUUAAACCCAAAGAGUUAUUAUUGCUAGCGGGUCGGAU
rnacentral:lncRNA from 1 species